GGUCCCGUAGCUUAACUGAAUAGAGCAUCUGACUACGGAUCAGAAGGUUGGGGGUUUGAAUCCCUCCGGGAUCACAA
rnacentral:tRNA from 1 species